GGCCACGUGGCGGAGUGGUUACGCAGCGGACUGCAAAUCCGCGUACGGGGGUUCGAUUCCCUCCGUGGCCUCCA
rnacentral:tRNA from 12 species